UCUGGUGGUGUACGGCUUCUCUCUCUCUCUCUGCCCUUUUUGUUCUAUGCGUAUACUAUAUACAGCACCGACUGCCGCCGAACUUGCGAACUUACAGCAAUUGCUGCUGCUUUCUCUCUGGCUUUUUUCUUUACGGUCUUUUCUUAGAGGUUCUGAAACCGGCUCUCCGGUGGAAACUUACCGGAUCUGAUUGGAAAAUUCACUGCAUAUCUAUCAGAUCGAAGUUGGAAGGAGUGGAGUUGCAGAGGAUAGAGAGUCAGAGACUUUAAGGGAAGUUUAAGGUUAAUUAAAUAGUUCUUAUGGGUUUUGGAUAAUUUUUAAUGCUGCAUUAAUCAAAAUCGAGGAGGUUUCUGCAGUUACGA